rnacentral:rRNA from 2 species
GGUGAAACUUAAAUGAUUUCUUCGGAAUGAACUUAAGUGGAUUAGUGGCGGACGGGUGAGUAACGCGUGAGUAACCUGUCUUACACAAGGGGAUAGCCGUUGGAAACGACGAAUAAUACCCUAUGAAACUAUCACUUCGCAUGAAGCGAUAGUCAAAGUGUUAGCGGUGUAAGAUGGACUUGCGUCUGAUUAGCUAGUUGGUGAGAAAAAAGCCCACCAAGGCAACGAUCAGUAGCCGGCUUGAGAGAGUGUACGGCCACAUUGGGACUGAGACACGGCCCAGACUCCUACGGGAGGCAGCAGUGGGGAAUUUUGCACAAUGGGGGAAACCCUGAUGCAGCGACGCCGCGUGAUUUAGAAGGCCUUCGGGUUGUAAAAAUCUUUUGUAUAGGAAGAAAAUGACAGUACUAUACGAAUAAGGUCCGGCUAAUUACGUGCCAGCAGCCGCGGUAAUACGUAAGGACCGAGCGUUGUCCGGAAUCAUUGGGCGUAAAGGGUACGUAGGCGGGUCAUUAAGUUAGAAGUCAAAGGCUAUAGCUCAACUAUAGUAAGCUUCUAAAACUGGCGACCUUGAGUAAUGGAAGGGAAAGUGGAAUUCCUAGUGUAGCGGUGGAAUGCGCAGAUAUUAGGAGGAAUACCGGUGGCGAAGGCGACUUUCUGGCCAUUAACUGACGCUGAGGUACGAAAGCGUGGGUAGCAAACAGGAUUA